rnacentral:rRNA from 1 species
UACAGAGGGUGCAAGCGUUGUUCGGAAUUAUUGGGCGUAAAGGGCGCGUAGGCGGUGCGGUAAGUCUGCGGUGAAAUCUCCCGGCUCAACUGGGAGGCUGCCGUGGAAACUGCCGUGCUUGAGUGUGGGAGAGGUGAGUGGAAUUCCCGGUGUAGCGGUGAAAUGCGCAGAUAUCAGGAAGAACACCCGUGGCGAAAGCGGCUCUCUGGAACGGUACUGACGCUGAGACGCGAAAGCGUGGGGAGCGAACAGG